UAACACAUGCAAGUCGAACGGCAGCACGGGGGCAACCCUGGUGGCGAGUGGCGAACGGGUGAGUAAUACAUCGGAACGUGUCCUGUAGUGGGGGAUAGCCCGGCGAAAGCCGGAUUAAUACCGCAUACGCUCUGCGGAGGAAAGCGGGGGCUCCUUCGGGACCUCGCGCUACGGGGGCGGCCGAUGGCAGAUUAGCUAGUUGGUGGGGUAAAGGCCUACCAAGGCGACGAUCUGUAGCUGGUCUGAGAGGACGACCAGCCACACUGGGACUGAGACACGGCCCAGACUCCUACGGGAGGCAGCAGUGGGGAAUUUUGGACAAUGGGCGCAAGCCUGAUCCAGCAAUGCCGCGUGUGUGAAGAAGGCCUUCGGGUUGUAAAGCACUUUUGUCCGGAAAGAAAACCUCAGCCCUAAUACGGCGGGGGGAUGACGGUACCGGAAGAAUAAGCACCGGCUAACUACGUGCCAGCAGCCGCGGUAAUAAG
rnacentral:rRNA from 1 species